GGUUAAGCGACUAAGCGUACACGGUGGAUGCCCUGGCAGUCAGAGGCGAUGAAGGACGUGCUAAUCUGCGAAAAGCGUCGGUAAGGUGAUAUGAACCGUUAUAACCGGCGAUGUCCGAAUGGGGAAACCCAGUGCAAUUCGUUGCACUAUCGUUAACUGAAUACAUAGGUUAACGAGGCGAACCGGGGGAACUGAAACAUCUAAGUACCCCGAGGAAAAGAAAUCAACCGAGAUUCCCCCAGUAGCGGCGAGCGAACGGGGAGCAGCCCAGAGUCUGAAU
rnacentral:rRNA from 1 species